rnacentral:pre_miRNA from 1 species
AUCACCUGGGAUCUUGUUAAAAUGCAGGUUUUGAUUCAGUAGGUCUGGGGCGGGGCCUGAGAGCCUGCAUUUCUAACAAGCUCCCCCGUGAUGCUGA